UGCUUUACUAUUGGCAUGACACAGUGAGGCGAAGACGUUGGAGGAUGGCCUGGUGUCAAGAAGGGCAGCAAAGAAGCCACUUCUCUCCAAGAAA